rnacentral:rRNA from 1 species
CCUACGGGAGGCAGCAGUGAGGAAUAUUGGUCAAUGGGCGCGAGCCUGAACCAGCCAAGUCGCGUGAGGGAAUACGGUCCUAUGGAUUGUAAACCUCUUUUGUCGGGGAGCAAAAGACGCCACGCGUGGCGUUCCGAGAGUACCCGAAGAAAAAGCAUCGGCUAACUCCGUGCCAGCAGCCGCGGUAAUACGUAGGAUGCGAGCGUUAUCCGGAUUUAUUGGGUUAAAAGGGUGCGCAGGAGGAAGAUCAGGCCAGCGGUAAAAUUGAGAGGCUCAACUUCUUCGAGCCGUUGAAACUGGUUGUCUUGAGUGAGUGAGAAGGAUGCGGAAUGCGUGGUGUAGCGGUGAAAUGCAUAGAUAUCACGCAGAACUCCGAUUGCGAAGGCAGCAUACCGGAGCUCAACUGACGCUGAUGCACGAAAGUGUGGGUAUCGAACAGGAUUAGAUACCCGAGUAGUC